GACGAACGCUGGCGGCGUGCUUAACACAUGCAAGUCGAACGGAAAGGCCCUGUUCGCAUUGUACUCGAGUGGCGAACGGGUGAGUGACACGUGGGUGAUCUGCACUGCACUUCGGUAUACUGCUGGGCAACUGGGACUAAUACCGAAUAGGAGCCAUUUUUAGUGUGUCGGUUGGAAAGUUUUUUCGGUGUAGGAUGAGCUCGCGGCCUAUCCGCUUGUUGGUGGGGUAGUGGCCUACCAAGGCGGCGACGGGUAGCCGGGCUGAGAGGGUGGACGGACACAUUGGGACUGAGAUACGGCCCAGACUCCUACGGGAAGCAGACGUGGGGAGUAUGGCAGAAUGGGCGAAAGCCUGAUGCAGAGGGGCCGCGUGGGGGAUGAAGGCCUUUGCGUUGUAGACUCCUGUCGCUAGGGACGAAGCGUUUUGUGACGGUACCUAGAUAAGAAGCGCCGGCUAACUACGUG
rnacentral:rRNA from 1 species